rnacentral:rRNA from 1 species
AUGCCUGCAACGAUUAUGUAUCUCUGCUCCUGGAAUGUUAGGGGCCUGGGUGAUGCGGACAAAUGCAAUGAUGUUCUAUCUGAACUUCUCUCUAUCAAAUCUAAUCUGUUGUUACUCCAGGAAACUAAGCUUGCCACGCCCUCUGUCCCAAAAGUCAGGUCCUUCCUGCCAAUCUUCCUCGAUUUCUAUGCCACUUCACCUGCUACGGGCACCGCUGGGUGCUUGCUCUCUGCUGCCAACACCAGCUCCCUUCACAUCACAAACCACUCGAACCAUGGUUUCUGCUCCACUCUCACCUUCACAUCUCUCACACUCCCUUCCCCCUUUUGCGUUACUAACGUUUAUGGCCCGACAAACAGAUCGGAAAAACCUAUCUUCCUCGCUGAGUUAAAAGCCAUAGCUCCCCCUGAGAACACCCCGUGGCUAGUUGUAGGCGAUUUCAAUCUGAUCCGCUUCCCCCACGAGAAAAACAAUGACAACUUUCACCAAUGAGAAUCCCGCAUUUUCAAUGACACUCUUGAUGAACUAGCUCUCCUCGAGCUGCCUCUACUGGAUCGGCAGUUUACUUGGUCCAACAAUAGAGAAGCCCCUGUCCUCGAACGACUCGACCGCGCCUUCUUUAAUUUAGCUUGGAAUCAUGCCUUCCCCAACGCCUCCUUAACUUCGCUCACUCGCGCCAUCUCCGAUCAUGUGCCACUAAUCAUCUCAAUCUCUAUGUCGGUACCUUGUUCCCGCCUUUUUCGGUUCGAACAAUGCUGGGCCUAUAAUCCGGCCUGCAAACGCCUGAUCGCCCAAAUCUGCCAACACCCUGCCCCGACCCACCUCUCCCCCUCAGUUCGUUUGGCCAGCACCCUUCAAACCUGCCGGUCCCGCCUCAAGCAAUGGACCAAAACCUUGCUGCCUGCCCAUACCAGAGAACUGCGCUGCAAACGCGUUAUUACUCUGCUCAACUUGAAAGAAGAAUCGAGGCCUCUCACCCCCUCCGAACUUCAAUUACAUGUAGUUGUUAAAGCCACGCUGCAAAGAGCCACCCGCGAUUGUAUGCUUGCUCUUCGACAACGAUCCAAAAUCAAACGCGCCAUCUAG